UUGAAGUAGUUUACCGUUUAGUCGGCUACACAUUUUUCCACAACCUAUCCCUGUUGGGAAUUUUAAAUGACGCAGUUGGCUGUGAGACCAAUUCAAAAGACUCUUCCCUCCAAUGUAAGCUUCUCUAAGCCCUUACACUUCAAAACGCGUCUGCCUAAUUCCCACUUUGAAAAGUAAAUAUUCUGGAGGACCCUCAUCAGCUGUCUUUUAUACGUCAAA
rnacentral:misc_RNA from 1 species